rfam:Stegodyphus mimosarum contig167182, whole genome shotgun sequence.
GCUUUCGUGGUGUAAUGGUCAACACGCUCGGCGCUUAUUCGAGAAGUCCGUGGUUCGAGUCCCGGCGAGGACA